UGAUGGUGGUAAUGAUGAUGAUGGUGGUAAUGAUGAUGGUGAUCAUCACAAUGGUAGUUAAUGUGAUGAUGGUAGUUGUACCAUCAUCAUCAUCACAUUAACUACCAUCAUCACGAUGGUAG